UACGUAGGGUGCGAGCGUUAAUCGGAAUUACUGGGCGUAAAGCGUGCGCAGGCGGCGCGUUAAGACAGGUGUGAAAGCCCCGAGCUUAACUUGGGAAUUGCGCUUGUGACUGGCGGGCUGGAGUGUGGCAGAGGGGGGUGGAAUUCCACGUGUAGCAGUGAAAUGCGUAGAUAUCGAGAGGAACACCUGCGGCGAAGGCGGGUUGCUGGGCUGACACUGACGCUGAGGCGCGAAAGCUAGGGGAGCGAACGGG
rnacentral:rRNA from 1 species